GUGAGGCUAUUUUAUCAAAAACCCCCUCUCCAGUGAAUCACUACUUGUCACAUUGGCCUGAACUGCAGAUGCUGGACAUCACUCAGCUGGUUCAGAUUAAUCAAGUGCCUACAAGUGGCUUUAGAGAAUAAAAGCAUGAGGGCCUCAACAGGCCUAUAGAGAAACCCCUUUUCCCAGUCUCCCUCACCUAAACAAGAGUCUUGGUCCCAAGCAUGGAGUUUGGAAUUGGAAGGUACAGAAGAAAGUACUGGAAUGCCAGCAAGAUGAUAAUUAUUCUCUGAGAAUACGAGAAAGGGAGAAGCCUGAAUGUCGGUCGAAAUUACGUUCUGGUUACUUACAGUGGAAUUUGAUUCUGACCAUCUUAGUAAAAAAUGGGAUUUACUGGAAUUCUCUCAUGUGCUUGGAGGAAAAACUGAAAGUCAGUGCUUGGAAACUGAGCAGGCAUCAAGGUGGGCUGGACAGUGGUGAGCAGACCAAAGGUCAUGGCAUGGGAGGAUCUUGGCCAGCACAUCAUCAUCACUGCCUCCAGGAAUAAUCCAUUCACCAUCUGGGCCCAUCAUCUGAAGUCACUUGCUCAGGAUAUAAAGACCUAAGAGACAGAAUUUGGUUUGCUAUGCUUCAGUUAAUUUCUUCAAACAGAUCCAUAGAAACAACUUCUUAACGCAGCAUUCCUUCCACAGAUAACAGUUUUCUCCAGUGACUCUGGGAAGUAAGAUUGUAGAAUAAGUUCCUUGGAACGCUGACCAAACAGGAAUCAACAUAUUGUGACAUCAUAAUAUAAACAUAUUCCUCUUGGAACUUUGCUCCAUGCAAUUUAAAAGAGGGCUAUGCACACAUCAAGUUAUUUCAUUUUCUUUUACUUCUGUAGGGGGUUUCCUCUGGCUUGACUUCCAAAUGGAGUGCUAUUUAAAUCACUGCGAUUGGCUGACCGUUAAUAGUACUUUAUGAGAAGGAAUUAGAGACUAAUAUUUUAUUCUAGUUUUAAUUCAAAACCAUCUGAAAACUGACUUCCUCAUAAUGAAUCAGACUUGGCUGGGAGCAUGAUAAAUUUAAUUAUAAUGGACUUCAUGUGGGUAUUGCCAGUCAUUUACAUAUUAAUUGAGUCCCGUGAAAUGAUUUUUCUUACCGUUUUGAGUGUUAAAACCAAGGAAGGGCUAAAGCACAGAAAGACCUGAUUCUCUCGUUUGUGAGACAUCUGUGGUAUUUUCAGUUGCACGAAGCCACCCAUAACAGUGUUGAGCAUUAAGAAAGCCCAGGGUUCAGGCUCUGGAGACCCAAGGUGUUGCUAGCGUUGCUGAAAGGUCCCAUUGCUCAGUGGAGUCGUGAAGGACUCAGGCUUUCUG
rnacentral:lncRNA from 1 species